GACGAACGCUGGCGGCGUGCUUAACACAUGCAAGUCGAACGGAAAGGCCCUGCUGUUGUGGGGUGCUCGAGUGGCGAACGGGUGAGUAACACGUGAGUAACCUGCCCUUGACUUUGGGAUAACUUCAGGAAACUGGGGCUAAUACCGGAUAGGAGCUCCUGCUGCAUGGUGGGGGUUGGAAAGUUUCGGCGGUUGGGGAUGGACUCGCGGCUUAUCAGCUUGUUGGUGGGGUAGUGGCUUACCAAGGCUUUGACGGGUAGCCGGCCUGAGAGGGUGACCGGCCACAUUGGGACUGAGAUACGGCCCAGACUCCUACGGGAGGCAGCAGUGGGGAAUAUUGCACAAUGGGCGGAAGCCUGAUGCAGCACCGCCGCGUGCGGGAUGACGGCCUUCGGGUUGUAAACCGCUUUCGCCUGUGACGAAGCGUGAGUGACGGUAAUGGGUAAAGAAGCACCGGCUAACUACGUG
rnacentral:rRNA from 1 species